rnacentral:lncRNA from 1 species
UAGAUCCCAAGGCAUAGUCCAGAUGGCAGCUAAAUCUGUUAGGUUAGUUGUCACUGGGUUAGUUAGUUAAGAAGUUGAUGUGGUCAAGUCGGUUUGGAAGUAGAUGUGGUUAGGUCCUCUUUGUUUUAUUGAAAACUUGUUGUAGGCUUUGUAUUCUGCAGGAUUAAUGCUUGGCUUGAGGUAAAUUAAAUAUGCCAUGGAUUGGUUUGACACUUAUUAUGAACAUGUAUUGCUCAUGAUUUUGGCCUCAUGAAUUGGUUUGGCACUUAUUGCAUAACAGGUACUAUAGGGUAAGAUGUUUGUCUCAUGGUGCAGCAGAAUUAUGAAUGAUGUAUUGCUCAUGAUUUUAGCCUCAUGGAUUGAUUUGGCACUUAUUGCAUAUCAUGUACUAUAGGGUAAGAUGAUUGGCUCAUGGUGCAGCAGAAUUAUGAAUGAUUGGCUGCUAGUUGUUGCAAGUGCAUUGGCAUGUUGCUAUUGAUGUAUGAUUGUAGGUCUUUAUUCAUGUUCCUUGGGUAUGGUGAGUUGUAAGUUCUUCCCAUGAUUUAUUCUACUAUAGGUAUUGCUCUUGUAUGGAAAUGCAAUGAUGGGGUUCUGACUAUGAUUAGUUUGGUUGUGGAAUGGUUCAGUUCUAGUUUAGGAUUUAUUAUGUUAUGAUUGUUAUUGGCUUGGUAAAUGUAUGUGUUAUUGAUUGUUGUAUUAUGACCUGGUUCUGUAGUAGGGUUAGGACCAUGGUUUUUUCUUUAUGCUCCUUGCAAUCUUGACAUUCUUCAUUUGAUCAUGUUUGUGUGCAUGAGGCCAAGGCCAUGUUCUGACUUUGGUUCAUGUUUUCACAGCAUAUUGACUUAUGAAUAUAUGUUCCAAUGUAGGAAUUCUGACCUGGCUUAUGGUAUGCGUUGCAAGAUUAUCACCAUGUGCGGGAAACUUGCAGGUCUGCAUUGCAAUGUCUCAUUGGGCUAGUGUAUUGAUGAUGCUUCCUUGUUCAGGUCCUGAAAGGUGUGGUUUGCUCAUGUUUACUGGUUCUUGGUCAUGUAAAGCAUACUUCUAGCCAUAACAAGCCCUUAUUUGGAUUUCCUAGCUUGGUGCAUUGUAAUAAAACGAUUAACAUGGCAUAUAUAAGUUCUGUGUGUACCUAAGAGGGG